AUUGAACGCUGGCGGCAUGCUUUACACAUGCAAGUCGAACGGCAGCGCGGGCUUCGGCCUGGCGGCGAGUGGCGAACGGGUGAGUAAUGCAUCGGAACGUGCCCAGUAGUGGGGGAUAGCCCGGCGAAAGCCGGAUUAAUACCGCAUACGACCUGAGGGUGAAAGCGGGGGACCGAAAGGCCUCGCGCUAUUGGAGCGGCCGAUGUCGGAUUAGCUAGUUGGUGGGGUAAAGGCUUACCAAGGCGACGAUCCGUAGCUGGUCUGAGAGGACGACCAGCCACACUGGGUCUGAGACACGGCCCAGACUCCUACGGGAGGCAGCAGUGGGGAAUUUUGGACAAUGGGGGCAACCCUGAUCCAGCCAUGCCGCGUGCGGGAAGAAGGCCUUCGGGUUGUAAACCGCUUUUGUUCGGGAAGAAAUCCUCUGGGCUAAUACCCCGGGGGGAUGACGGUACCGGAAGAAUAAGCACCGGCUAACUACGUG
rnacentral:rRNA from 1 species